rnacentral:ncRNA from 1 species
ACCAAGGAGUCUAACAUGUGCGCGAGCCGCGGGGCAGUACGAAACCCGUAAGGCGAAAUGAAGGUGAACGCCGGCGCGGUCCGGCGGAGGUUGGAUCCCGUCCCGUCGGGGCGGGCGCACUACCGGCCGAUCUUCUCCGCCCUGUCGGCGAGGUCGAGCGAGAGCGUGCAAGUCGGGACCCGAAAGAUGGUGAACUAUGCCUGAGGAGGUUGAAGCCAGAGGAAACUCUGGUGGAGGACCGUAGCGAUUCUGACGUGCAAAUCGAUCGUCAAAUUUGGGUAUAGGGGCGAAAGACUAAUCGAACCGUCUAGUAGCUGGUUCCCUUCGAAGUUUCCCUCAGGAUAGCUGGCGCUCUGUCGCAGUUUUAUCUGGUAAAGCGAAUGAUUAGAGGUCUUGGGGGCGAAACGCCCUCAACCUAUUCUCAAACUUUAAAUUGGUAAGAAGCCCGACUCGCUCGUUUGGAGCCGGGCAUGGAAUGCGAGUGCCAAGUGGGCCACUCUUGGUAAGCAGGACUGGCGAUGCGGGAUGAACCGAACGCCGGGUUAAGGCGCCCGACGCGACGCUCAUCAGAGCCCACAAAAGGUGUUGGUUGAUAUAGACAGCAGGACGGUGGCCAUGGAAGUCGGAAACCGCUAAGGAGUGUGUAACAACUCACCUGCCGAAUCAAUCAGCCCUGAAAAUGGAUGGCGCUGGAGCGUCGGGCCUAUACCCGGCCGUCGCGGCGGUACGAGCAUCGAGUUGGUGCGCUAGGCCGCGACGAGUAGGAGGGCCGCGGCGGCGGGCGUAGAAGCCUAGGGCGCGAGCCCGGGUGGAGCAGCCGUCGGUGCAGAUCUUGGUGGUAGUAGCAAAUAUUCAAAUGAGAACUUUGAAGGCCGAAGUGGGAGAAGGGUUCCAUGUGAACAGCAGUUGAAGCAUGGGUCAGUCGACCCUAAGGGAUAGGCGAAGGCCGUUCUGAGUCGGGGGUGAUGUUCGCGUCGCCCCGGCGGACCGAAAGGGGAAUCGGGUUAAUAUUCCCGAACUCAAACCGCGGAGAUUGGCGCUCCGGCGCCUAGUGCGGCAACGCAAACGAAC